rnacentral:rRNA from 1 species
GGUGAGUAACACGUGGAUAACCUACCUAUAAGACUGGGAUAACUUCGGGAAACCGGAGCUAAUACCGGAUAAUAUUUUGAACCGCAUGGUUCAAUAGUGAAAGACGGUUUUGCUGUCACUUAUAGAUGGAUCCGCGCCGCAUUAGCUAGUUGGUAAGGUAACGGCUUACCAAGGCAACGAUGCAUAGCCGACCUGAGAGGGUGAUCGGCCACACUGGAACUGAGACACGGUCCAG